GGAAGUGGUGGCGGUGUUCGGUAGGGGCUCGGCUGUUCGCGCGGCGGGUGCGGCCAUGGCGCAACCGGGGAAGCUGCUCAAGGAGCAGAAGUACGACCGGCAGCUGAGGUUGUGGGGUGAUCAUGGGCAAGAGGCUUUAGAAUCUGCUCACGUUUGCCUAAUAAAUGCAACAGCCACAGGAACUGAAAUUCUAAAAAACUUGGUACUACCAGGUAUUGGUUCAUUUACAAUUAUUGAUGGAAAUCAGGUCAGCGGAGAAGAUGCUGGAAAUAAUUUUUUCCUUCAGCGAAGCAGCAUCGGCAAGAACCGAGCUCAAGCUGCCAUGGAAUUCUUACAAGAAUUAAAUAACGACGUCUCUGGAAGUUUUGUGGAAGAGGUUUACCAUUGUGGUUGCAACUCAGCUUCCUGAAAGUACAUUACUACGUUUAGCAGAUGUCCUCUGGAAUUCCCAAAUCCCUCUUUUGAUCUGUAGGACAUAUGGACUAGUUGGUUAUAUGAGGAUCAUUAUAAAAGAACAUCCAGUAAUAGAAUCUCAUCCAGAUAAUGCAUUAGAGGAUCUACGACUGGAUAAACCAUUUCCUGAACUGAGAGAACAUUUUCAGUCAUAUGAUUUGGAUCAUAUGGAAAAAAAGGACCACAGCCAUACUCCAUGGAUUGUGAUCGUAGCUAAAUAUUUAGCACAGUGGUAUAGUGAAGUAUGUCUUUUUUUAAAAACAAAUUCCAUAUGUGACUGUAUUUUCAAUUUAUUAUAAAGGAUUUCAGUGAAGGAGAGUAGGAGAUUAACUUUUUUCCUUAUGUGGUAAUUGGGCAGGUGGGUGCUUUUCUGUUUAAAUCUGGCAGUUCCUCUUUUGAUACUGAUACUUUUACUACCGAAAUCAAAUAUCAAUAAAUGUUAUUCUGAAACUGGCAGUGGGGAAUGUAGAAAAAUGGCUCGCAGUUUUUGUUUUCUUUCAAGUCAGCCUCUGAUUUCACUGAGGUAUGUAUUUGCUGAUGAAAUCUCAUGUGGAUGGGAGAAUGGGGAGAAGUUUGGACUCUCAAUUUCCAUGUUUUGGUUUUUUAUAACUAGAAUUUAAAAUUUUUAACCAAUUUAGACAAAUGGACGAAUACCUAAAACGUAUAAGGAAAAAGAAGACUUCAGAGAUUUGAUUAGACAAGGAAUUCUAAAGAAUGAAAAUGGGACUCCGGAAGAUGAAGAGAAUUUUGAAGAAGCUAUUAAAAAUGUGAACACAGCACUAAAUACAACUCAGAUCCCAAGCAGUAUUGAAGAUAUAUUUAAUGAUGAUCGCUGCAUAAAUAUCACCAAACAGACUCCAUCAUUUUGGAUUUUAGCUCGCGCCUUAAAGGAAUUUGUGGCCAAAGAGGGUCAAGGAAAUUUACCUGUUCGAGGCACAAUUCCUGAUAUGAUCGCAGAUUCAAGCAAAUAUAUAAAGCUGCAAAAUGUUUACCGUGAAAAAGCAAAGAAAGAUGCUGCUGCUGUGGGUAAUCAUGUUGCCAAAUUGUUGCAGUCUAUCGGCCAGGCACCAGAGUCCAUUUCAGAGAAAGAAUUAAAAUUACUCUGCACCAAUUCUGCAUUUCUUCGAGUGGUAAGAUGUCGAUCCUUAGCUGAAGAAUAUGGCUUGGAUACAAUUAACAAGGAUGAAAUAAUUUCUAGCAUGGACAAUCCCGAUAAUGAGAUAGUAUUAUACUUAAUGUUACGGGCUAUUGAUAGAUUUCAUAAACAACAUGGUAGAUAUCCAGGGGUAUCUAACUACCAGGUUGAAGAAGAUAUAGGAAAGCUGAAGUCUUGUCUCACUGGCUUCCUUCAGGAAUAUGGAUUAUCUGUAAUGGUGAAAGAUGAUUAUGUCCAUGAAUUUUGCCGAUAUGGAGCUGCUGAGCCACACACCAUUGCUGCGUUUUUAGGAGGAGCUGCUGCUCAGGAGGUUAUCAAAAUAAUCACCAAACAGUUUGUAAUUUUUAAUAAUACUUACAUCUAUAGUGGCAUGUCACAAACUUCAGCAACUUUCCAGUUGUAGAAUAAGCACCCUAUGUCGUGUGUCAGUGAUUUAAACUGUAAUGGCCUUCAGGUUGUGCUCUAGUCUGUAAAAUUCUGCUAAGGGAGAAGUGUUAAAUUGUUUCCUUAAUAAACAUUGUUCUCAUUUGU